CCUACGGGAGACAGCAGUGGGGAAUAUUACACAAUGGGGGAAACCCUGAUGCAGCGACGCCGCGUGAGUGAAGAAGUAAUUCGUUAUGUAAAGCUCUAUCAGCAGGGAAGAAAAUGACGGUACCUGAGUAAGAAGCCCCGGCUAACUACGUGCCAGCAGCCGCGGUCAUACGUAGGGGGCAGGCGUUAUCCGGUUUUACUGGGUGUAAAGGGAGCGUAGACGGCAGUGCAAGCCUGGAGUGAAAGGCGGGGGCUCAACCCCCGGACUGCUCUGGAAACUGUACGGCUGGAGUGCAGGAGAGGUAAGUGGAAUUCCUAGUGGAGCGGUGAAAUGCGUAGAUAUUAGGAGGAACACCAGUGGCGAAGGCGGCUUACUGGACUGUAACUGACGUUGAGGCUCGAAAGCGUGGGGAGCAAACAGGAUUAGAUACCCCUGUAGUC
rnacentral:rRNA from 1 species